rnacentral:rRNA from 1 species
AUUGAACGCUGGCGGCAGGCCUAACACAUGCAAGUCGAACGAGUGGCGGACGUGUGAGUAAUGUCUGGGAAAAUGCCUGAUGGAGGGGGAUAACUACUAGAAACGGUAGCUAAUACUGCAUACCAUCGGAUGUGCCCAAAUGGGAUUAGCUAGUAGGUGGGGUAAAGGCUCACCUAGGCGACGAUCCCUAGCUGUGGUGAGAGGUGGACCAGACAAACGGGAACUGAGACACUGACAAGACGCCUACGGGCGGCAGCAGUGGGGAAUAGUGCACAAUGGACGCAAGCCUGAUGCAGCAAUGCCGGUUAUGUGAAGCAGGUCUUCGGGUUGUAAAGUACUUUGAGCGGGGAGGCGUGACCCGCAGAAGAAGCAACGGCUAACGCCGUGCCAGCAGCCGCGGUAAUGC